rnacentral:rRNA from 1 species
GCUCCCUGGUUGAUCCUGCCAGUUUUCAUAUGCUCGUCUCAAAGAUUAAGCCAUGCAAGUGUAAGUACGAGCUUGAUGAAAAAGUGAAACCGCGAAUGUCUCAUUAAAUCAGUCAUGGUUCAUUGGACGAUGAACGGUUACUUGGAUAACUGUGGCAAUUCUAGAGCUAAUACAUGCAAACAAGUCCCGACCGGAGACGGAAAGGACGCACUUAUUAGAUCAAAGCCUAGCGGGUGGAGGGUCCCCGAGUGUCUCCCCGGAGCACUCGCCCCUCUCUCUCCCGUUUGCGUUCUUGGUGACUCUGAAUAAUUGUGUGAUCGCACGGCCCACGAGCCGGCGACGUGUCUUUCAAAUGUCUGACUCAGCAACUGUCGAUGGUAGGUUCUGCGCCUACCAUGGUGGUGACGGGUGACGGGGAAUCAGGGUUCGAUUCCGGAGAGGGAGCCUGAGAGACGGCUACCACAUCCAAGGAAGGUAAGCAGGCACGCAAAUUACCCACUCCCGGCACGGGGAGGUAGUGACGAAAAAUAACGAUGCGGGACUCGUGAGAGGCCCCGUAAUCGGAACGAGGAGACUUUAAAUCCUUUACCGAGUAUCCAUUGGAGGGCAAGUCUGGUGCCAGCAGCUGCGGUGAUUCCAGCUCCAAUAGCGUAUGUUAAAGUUGUUGCGGUUAAAAAGCUCGUAGUCGGACCUGUGGUCCCGCCGGUGUCGGUGCACCGCUGGUCGGUGUCUAACCGGGCAUGCAGGCGAGGACGUCCUGACGGUGGUCCCCUCUCGAGUCGCUCGGAAACGAGCGUCUAUAGGGGCCGUCACGUUUACUUUGAACAAAUUAGAGUGCUCAAAGCAGGCAUGCAAGUCGCCUGAAAGAUCAGUGCAUGGAAUAAUGGAAAAGGACCUCGGUUCUAUUUUGUUGGUUGUCUGAAUCUCCGAGGAAAUGAUCAAUAGGAACAGACGGGGGCAAACGUACUGCGACGUUAGAGGUGAAAUUCUUGGAUCGUCGCAAGACGCACAGAAGCGAAAGCAUUUGCCAAGUAUGUUUUCUAUGAUCAAGAGCUAAAGUCAGAGGUUCGAAGGCGAUCAGAUACCGCCCUAGUUCUGACCAUAAACGAUGCCAGCCAGCAAUCCGCCGAAGUCGACCCUUCGACUCGGCGGGAGGCUUCCGGGAAACCAAAGCUUACGGGCUCCGGAAGAAGUAUGGUUGCAAAGCUGAAACUCAAGGGAAUUGACGGAAGGGCACCACCAGGUGUGGAGCCUGCGGCUUAAUUUGACUCAACACGGGAAAACUUACCAAGCCCGGACACCGGAAUGAUUGACAGAUUGAGAGCUCUUUCUUGAUUCGGUGGGUGGUGGUGCAUGGCCGUUCUUAGUUCGUGGGGUGACUUGGCUGGUCAAUUCCGGUAACGAACGAGACUCUAACCUGCUAACUAGUCGAUGACUAGCAUCUCAUUCGCUGCUGGCGAUAAAUGACGAACAAAUCUUCUUAGAGGGACGAGCGGCGGCGAGUCGCGCUAAAGAGAGCCACAACAGGUCUGUGAUGCCCUAAGAUGUCUUGGGCUGCACGCGCGCUACACUGAAGGAGACAACGUGUCUUCCCUGGCCGAAAGGUCCGGGCAAUCCGUUGAACCUCCUUUCGUGAUAGGGAUUGGGGCUUGUAAUUGUUCCCCAUGAACGAGGAAUUCCCAGUAAGCGCGAGUCAUAAGCUCGCGUUGAUUAAGUCCCUGCCCUUUGUACACACCGCCCGUCGCCAUAUCCGAUGAAUGGUUUAGUGAGGCCUUCGGACCGGCGAUGGCUGGCGUGCCUUCGGGCGCGUCGCUAUCCGAGGAAAGAUGGCCGAACUAGGGCAUUUAGAGGAGAUGUAAGUCGUAACAAGGUUGCCGUAGGUGAACCUGCGGCAGGACCACGA